rnacentral:rRNA from 1 species
GGUCCUGCCUGCCCUGUGACCAUGAGUUUAACGGCCGCGGUAUUUUAACCGUGCGAAGGUAGCGCAAUCACUUGUCCUUUAAAUGAAGACCAGUAUGAACGGCAAGACGAGGGCUUAACUGUCUCCUUUUUCAAGUCAGUGAAAUUGAUCUCUCCGUGCAGAAGCGGGGAUAUAAACAUAAGACGAGAAGACCCUGUGGAGCUUUAGACACCAAGACAAAUCAUGUUAAGGGCUCCUAAAUAAAGGACUGAACUGAAUGGCACCUUGCUCUGAUGUCUUUGGUUGGGGCGACCAUGGGGAAAAAAAGAACCCCCACGUGGAAUGGGAGCACUGAUUUCUUCUCCCACAACUAAGAGCCACAACUCUAAGUAACAGAACAUCUGACCUUAAGAUCCGGCUUUCUGCCGAUCAACAGACCAAGUUACCCCAGGGAUAACAGCGCAAUCCCCUUUUAGAGCCCAUAUCGACAAGGGGGUUUACGACCUCGAUGUUGGAUCAGGACAUCCUAAUGGCGCAGCCGCUAUUAAGGGUUCGUUUGUUCAACGAUUAAAGUCCUACGUGAUC